rnacentral:rRNA from 1 species
AGAGUUUGAUCCUGGCUCAGGAUGAACGCUAGCGGCAGGCUUAAUACAUGCAAGUCGAGGGGCAGCACGAAUAGCAAUAUUUGGUGGCGACCGGCAAACGGGUGCGGAACACGUACAGAACCUUCCUUUAAGUGGGGAAUAGCCCAGAGAAAUUUGGAUUAAUACCCCGUAACAUUAUGAAGUGGCAUCACCUUAUAAUUAUAGAUUUAUCGCUUAGAGAUGGCUGUGCGGCUGAUUAGGUAGUUGGUAAGGUAACGGCUUACCAAGCCUGCGAUCAGUAACUGGUGUGAGAGCACGACCAGUCACACGGGCACUGAGACACGGGCCCGACUCCUACGGGAGGCAGCAGUAAGGAAUAUUGGUCAAUGGACGAAAGUCUGAACCAGCCAUGCCGCGUGAAGGAUGAAGGUCCUCUGGAUUGUAAACUUCUUUUAUCUGGGACGAAACACUCUUAUUCUUAAGAGCUUGACGGUACCAGAGGAAUAAGCACCGGCUAACUCCGUGCCAGCAGCCGCGGUAAUACGGAGGGUGCAAGCGUUAUCCGGAUUCACUGGGUUUAAAGGGUGCGUAGGUGGGUCUGUAAGUCAGUGGUGAAAUCUUCGAGCUUAACUCGGAAACUGCCAUUGAUACUAUAGCUCUUGAAUUUUCUGGAGGUAAGCGGAAUAUGUCAUGUAGCGGUGAAAUGCUUAGAUAUGACAUAGAACACCAAUUGCGAAGGCAGCUUACUACGGGAACAUUGACACUGAGGCACGAAAGCGUGGGGAUCAAACAGGAUUAGAUACCCUGGUAGUCC